rnacentral:rRNA from 1 species
GGUUAAGCGACUAAGCGUACACGGUGGAUGCCCUGGCAGUCAGAGGCGAUGAAGGACGUGCUAAUCUGCGAAAAGCGUCGGUAAGGUGAUAUGAACCGUUACAGCCGGCGAUGUCCGAAUGGGGAAACCCAGUGCAAUUCGUUGCACUAUCGUUAACUGAAUACAUAGGUUAACGAGGCGAACCGGGGGAACUGAAACAUCUAAGUACCCCGAGGAAAAGAAAUCAACCGAGAUUCCCCCAGUAGCGGCGAGCGAACGGGGAGCAGCCCAGAGUCUGAAUCAGCUUGUGUGUUAGUGGAACGGUCUGGAAAGUCCGACGGUACAGGGUGAUAGUCCCGUACACCAAAAUGCACAGGUUGUGAACUCGAAGAGUAGGGCGGGACACGUGGUAUCCUGUCUGAAUAUGGGGGGACCAUCCUCCAAGGCUAAAUACUCCUGACUGACCGAUAGUGAACCAGUACCGUGAGGGAAAGGCGAAAAGAACCCCGGCGAGGGGAGUGAAAAAGAACCUGAAACCGUGUACGUACAAGCAGUGGGAGCACCUUUAUGGUGUGACUGCGUACCUUUUGUAUAAUGGGUCAGCGACUUAUAUUCUGUAGCAAGGUUAACCGUAUAGGGGAGCCGCAGGGAAACCGAGUCUUAACUGGGCGUUAAGUUGCAGGGUAUAGACCCGAAACCCGGUGAUCUAGCCAUGGGCAGGUUGAAGGUUGGGUAACACUAACUGGAGGACCGAACCGACUAAUGUUGAAAAAUUAGCGGAUGACUUGUGGCUGGGGGUGAAAGGCCAAUCAAACCGGGAGAUAGCUGGUUCUCCCCGAAAGCUAUUUAGGUAGCGCCUCGUGAAUUCAUCUUCGGGGGUAGAGCACUGUUUCGGCUAGGGGGUCAUCCCGACUUACCAACCCGAUGCAAACUACGAAUACCGAAGAAUGUUAUCACGGGAGACACACGGCGGGUGCUAACGUCCGUCGUGAAGAGGGAAACAACCCAGACCGCCAGCUAAGGUCCCAAAGUCACAGUUAAGUGGGAAACGAUGUGGGAAGGCACAGACAGCCAGGAUGUUGGCUUAGAAGCAGCCAUCAUUUAAAGAAAGCGUAAUAGCUCACUGGUCGAGUCGGCCUGCGCGGAAGAUGUAACGGGGCUAAACUGUGCACCGAAGCUGCGGCAGCGACACUAUGUGUUGUUGGGUAGGGGAGCGUUCUGUAAGCCUGCGAAGGUGGCCUGUGAGGGUUGCUGGAGGUAUCAGAAGUGCGAAUGCUGACAUAAGUAACGAUAAUGCGGGUGAAAAGCCCGCACGCCGGAAGACCAAGGGUUCCUGUCCAACGUUAAUCGGGGCAGGGUGAGUCGACCCCUAAGGCGAGGCCGAAAGGCGUAGUCGAUGGGAAACAGGUUAAUAUUCCUGUACUUGGUGUUACUGCGAAGGGGGGACGGAGAAGGCUAUGUUAGCCGGGCGACGGUUGUCCCGGUUUAAGCAUGUAGGCGGAGGUUCCAGGUAAAUCCGGUACCUUUUAACGCUGAGGUGUGAUGACGAGGCACUACGGUGCUGAAGUAACAAAUGCCCUGCUUCCAGGAAAAGCCUCUAAGCAUCAGGUAACAUUAAAUCGUACCCCAAACCGACACAGGUGGUCAGGUAGAGAAUACCAAGGCGCUUGAGAGAACUCGGGUGAAGGAACUAGGCAAAAUGGUGCCGUAACUUCGGGAGAAGGCACGCUGAUAUGUAGGUGAAGCCCCUGCGGGUGGAGCUGAAAUCAGUCGAAGAUACCAGCUGGCUGCAACUGUUUAUUAAAAACACAGCACUGUGCAAACACGAAAGUGGACGUAUACGGUGUGACGCCUGCCCGGUGCCGGAAGGUUAAUUGAUGGGGUUAUCCGUAAGGAGAAGCUCUUGAUCGAAGCCCCGGUAAACGGCGGCCGUAACUAUAACGGUCCUAAGGUAGCGAAAUUCCUUGUCGGGUAAGUUCCGACCUGCACGAAUGGCGUAAUGAUGGCCAGGCUGUCUCCACCCGAGACUCAGUGAAAUUGAACUCGCUGUGAAGAUGCAGUGUACCCGCGGCAAGACGGAAAGACCCCGUGAACCUUUACUAUAGCUUGACACUGAACAUUGAGCCUUGAUGUGUAGGAUAGGUGGGAGGCUUUGAAGCGUGGACGCCAGUCUGCGUGGAGCCAACCUUGAAAUACCACCCUUUAAUGUUUGAUGUUCUAACGUUGGCCCCUGACCGGGGUUGCGGACAGUGUCUGGUGGGUAGUUUGACUGGGGCGGUCUCCUCCCAAAGAGUAACGGAGGAGCACGAAGGUUAGCUAAUCCUGGUCGGACAUCAGGAGGUUAGUGCAAUGGCAUAAGCUAGCUUGACUGCGAGCGUGACGGCGCGAGCAGGUGCGAAAGCAGGUCAUAGUGAUCCGGUGGUUCUGAAUGGAAGGGCCAUCGCUCAACGGAUAAAAGGUACUCCGGGGAUAACAGGCUGAUACCGCCCAAGAGUUCAUAUCGACGGCGGUGUUUGGCACCUCGAUGUCGGCUCAUCACAUCCUGGGGCUGAAGUAGGUCCCAAGGGUAUGGCUGUUCGCCAUUUAAAGUGGUACGCGAGCUGGGUUUAGAACGUCGUGAGACAGUUCGGUCCCUAUCUGCCGUGGGCGCUGGAGAAUUGAGGGGGGCUGCUCCUAGUACGAGAGGACCGGAGUGGACGCAUCACUGGUGUUCGGGUUGUCAUGCCAAUGGCAUUGCCCGGUAGCUAAAUGCGGAAGAGAUAAGUGCUGAAAGCAUCUAAGCACGAAACUUGCCCCGAGAUGAGUUCUCCCUGAGACUUUAAGUCUCCUGAAGGAACGUUAAAGACGAUGACGUUGAUAGGUCGGGUGUGUAAGCGUAGCGAUACGUUGAGCUAACCGAUACUAAUGAACCGUGAGGCUUAACCUU